CAGUAGCCACGGUAAUACAGAGGGUGCAAGCGUUAAUCGGAAUUACUGGGCGUAAAGCGCGCGUAGGUGGUUUGUUAAGUUGGAUGUGAAAGCCCCGGGCUCAACCUGGGAACUGCAUCCAAAACUGGCAAGCUAGAGUACGGUAGAGGGUGGUGGAAUUUCCUGUGUAGCGGUGAAAUGCGUAGAUAUAGGAAGGAACACCAGUGGCGAAGGCGACCACCUGGACUGAUACUGACACUGAGGUGCGAAAGCGUGGGGAGCAAACAGGAUUAGAUACCCGGGUAGUCCCUGUCUCUUAUAA
rnacentral:rRNA from 1 species